rnacentral:rRNA from 1 species
UACGUAGGGUGCGAGCGUUGUCCGGAUUUAUUGGGCGUAAAGGGCUCGUAGGCGGUUUGUCGCGUCGUCCGUGAAAACUCACAGCUUAACUGUGAGCUUGCGGUCGAUACGGGCAGGCUAGAGUUCGGUAGGGGAGACUGGAAUUCCUGGUGUAGCGGUGAAAUGCGCAGAUAUCAGGAGGAACACCGGUGGCGAAGGCGGGUCUCUGGGCCGAUACUGACGCUGAGGAGCGAAAGCGUGGGGAGCGAACAGG